AGAAAAUGGGGCUCCCUUGGUCUAAUGUUUUUCUGCCACGUCAGGGAUGAGUGUGUCACUUUUUCCAGUGCUCAGCCUUCCACAUCCACCAUCUGUUGUGUGUCUGCCCACAUCCUACUUCCUUGAGCCCUGCAUUAUUGACCAGCCACCCUAAGUCGCCCCUCACCAUUGGCGACCCAGGAUACGUGGUGUACACCAAGCCCGCCUAGCCAGCGUCCUAACGCAGAGAGGGCUUACAGCUUUGCAGUUCUCCUUCUUGGCGAAUUAGCCUGAGCUGCCUGCCUCCAGCUGGAUUUAGAAGCUUGACUAACCCUGUCAGAGGCCAAUUUUCUUUGAACAUUUAUUUGUAUCUUUGAGUAAUUGCAUUUUCUGUAGCGGGUUUUCUGACUUAAUUUAAUUGUAUUUCUGUUUCUGCCUGUUGGGCUGGCUCUUGCAGGCAGGAGUCAGGAUUCUUAGCUGCUGUGGUGUUCAUCUACCUGCUAAUUUUUUAUCAAGUCAUAGUCAACUGAUCCAUCUUCUUUCCAGGAGUAUUCCAGUCAUUCAUCCUGCUAGGUGGGCACAAGAAAGGAACAGUGGGGGAGUGUGUGCUAGGCUCAGACUGAGGAUUUUAGAUCUGCCUUUGUCCUCAUUUCUUUUACCAUCAAACCCAUAGGGUCCCUUCAGCUUUCAUGCAAUAUCAUAAUAUGCACAGAACUAAAAGAUUAUAGAGUCCAGGAGGUUAGCUCACUCAUGGGUCUUUGUAGAUCCUUGCAAUCAGACAUGAGGCCUUUGGGGCGUUCAUAAGCUUCAGCAUCGCUCAUUUUGAUUUGAAUCACCAGUGAAUAUAUUGUGUACUAGGGGUACAAGAGAACACACUAGCCCAAGAUACUGCAUUGGACUGCCCUGGCCUGUAGAAAACCACCUCUUUGACUUCUGGGUGAGCAGUACUAUUUGCUUUUGGUUGCCACCUCUUUAGGAUUUCUUUAGUACAUACCUUCCCAUUUCAUGAAAAGUGGUAUGGCAAAAGAAAUCCUGAGUUUCUUAAUUCAAGAGCUAUGAGUUCCCAUUCCCAAAAACAAACUGCAGCUUCCUGGGCAUUGCGCCAGCUCUGUUGGCCAUCUGUACAAUGGAGUGCUUACCCCCUUGGCUGUCUCUUCAGUCUCACCUUGACCCCUAUUUUGGUUUUGAUAAGAUGCAUCCAUUCAUGUUUGUGAAGAAGAAAUCCUCAUAUUGGCAUGCAAAGUGCCUUACCCCUCCCCUCUAUUUUGUAACUGUGCAACGUAGCUUGAAUUUUUAUCAAUUAAAGAUAGGCCCCUGCUAGAGAAGUAUUUUAAGAAUCCAAACACUCCAGUUAUCUCUCAGUAGCUGUUGCGAUUUGGGGCAUGGUAAUGAGGUAGAAGCACAGAUAUUUUAGAAUUUCCUCCAUGUGGGCCUUUGGAUAACUACAGAGCAGUUCUGUGUUGGCAAAAGCAGCCACUUUUCUACCUGCUCGUGUUUCUGGCCCGCUGAUGAUAUCCAAAAGCACAAGGGGGUCAGAGAGAACACUGACCACUAAACAGAUACUUUGGGAAGGCUCUCUAAUCUCAGCAUUUGUGAGUCAGGGAGGAAGACUGGAGUAUUGAAGCCAGACACACAGCUGCUAACUCAGGCGCUUCUCAUUGAAAAAGUACAUUAUCAAGACCUGACUCUGCUAUCACUCUGGGACUCUGACAUCCCUGGGUCUCCCCAGCUCUCCAACCAAGAUACUUAAAGGUAAUGAGAUCAUGAUGUGUGUUUUUGAAAAACUUCUAGUAUUCAAAUAGAAAUCAUUAGUAUCCCUUCAUCAUUCUCCUAGUAUGCUACUCCUCUCUUUCACCCCAUGGUGUAUUUCCUGUCCUUUGCUUUUGUGGAUCAAAGGGUUUAUUUUGAAGUUCAAGUCAACCAUUUCUUGUCCAGUGAUAGGCUGUAAGCACCAUGUGAACUAGGCAGGUAACUAGGCUGUUACCGGCCUACCUAUAGCUCCUUCCUUUCUGGGCUCUUGGCUCUUGCCAAGUAUCUCUAAAAGCCCUAGAAGGAAGGUCCUCAAUUCCCAUUCCAACACCUAAAUGAAAACGGCAUCAUUUCAUUUAGAGGUGAGGUAAAAAUGAAGAAUGGAGGAUACUGUCAGGUUACCCCGUUUUUCCCUUCCCCUGGCUGCUAAGUCUCCCCUGUCAGCUUUUAAACUCCCCAGGUAGACAGUCACCAGUAGCCUUCCCUAAGCUAGUUCAGCAGCAUAUGCUGAUAGGUGCCGAUAGUGUGCUGGCUCCAGUGGGAUUCCUCUCUGCAAAGCUGCUGGCUCAGCUUAAGCUGUUGUCUGUUUCCCUGUUCUUCUGCUUGGAACUUUCAUAGCCAGUCAAGCAUAGAAUUGCAUCCAUUCUUCUGAAAUAGCUCCUGGGCCUAAUUUUUCAUUGGCUUGGCCAAGAUCCUAUUACCUGUAAUUAUGUCAUACAGGCUGACUGGUAAAGUUUGAUAGGCCUCACUGCCAUCUCGAGACUAGUGUUCACAUCCCAGCCUGCCUGUUGGGACUGGGGACAGAAUAAGGUAGAAUAAGGUUUAUGGCCACAAGGGAUUUGGCCUCCUUGGGGACAUGUAGGAAGGUCUCAAGGAUGUAAUCCAGUCUCAAGGAAGAAAAUCCUUUUCAGCAGAGGGAUUCUUCCUUUCCCUGGGGAAUUGGUCCUUACUACUAUGAACUCUUCCUUCAGAGACACUAAUGUUUCCUCUGCCAGUUCAAUUUGUUCCUACCAGUAGAAGGAAAUAGAAAGUAUAGGCCUUAGACCUCGCGGAUGUUGUUUCCUCCAUAAGUAGGUCCUUAGCAAUGUUGAGGCAGGUCCCUGGACUGAUUUUUUUUUUUCUCUCCAUCUUUACUUCUGACCGACAUCAGUCUUAGAGUAAAAAUGCAAAAGGCUCAAACAUUACUUCCUCUUAGAUCUUUCUGCUAGAAUGGUCCACAGUACGUACUUUGAACCUCAUCUAAAUUGAAGCCUGGAAAUGAGUAUAGUGGACACUGAUUGCCAUUGGAGAGUGCAUUUAUUGGUUCACUACAAGAUUAUCAUUAUAAACACAUGACCAUGAAAAUCCUUCGGACAGAGCUUUGCUAAGCAGAACUCCUGCCACCUAUGGUAUUCAGUACUGUCUGCCUAUCUGACGUAGAGUUCUUUAUGAGCCAUCCCUGUGGACAGCAGCUAUUGCCAGGUGUAUCCUGGUCUGCCUUCUGUAUAGUUAUGUAGAGCCUGUGACCCAGAACAAAUGGAAAAAUUCUAUCAAGAGGUAAGAAAUAAGAAAUUUCUGGACUACUCCUAGGUUAGGAUUGGGCUAGGAGAGCUGGGUGCCAUUUAUUUAUUUGUUUGUUUAUUAGAGACAGAGAGAGGCGCAGAGACACAGGCAGAGGGAGAAGCAGGCUCCAUGCAGGGAGCCUGACAUGGGACUCGAUCCCAGGACUCCAGGAUUACACCCUGGGCUGAAGGCGCGCUAAACCUCUAAGCCACCAGGGCUGCCCCCAUUUAUUUGAUUUAGUUUUAUCAGGUGCCCCUAGUAAUAAUGCCUGUUUUUUCCUACCUCUUCAGUCAUCCUGAGUAUUCACUGCUUCUUGAGCUUUGGUAAGGAUUCUCUUUAAAAAAGAAAAAUGGGGAGAAAAGAAGCUAAUAUCCAGAAUAGAAUAGAAUAGAAUAGAAUAGAAUA